rnacentral:rRNA from 1 species
GACGAACGCUGGCGGCGUGCUUAACACAUGCAAGUCGAACGGAAAGGCCCUGCUUUUGUGGGGUGCUCGAGUGGCGAACGGGUGAGUAACACGUGAGUAACCUGCCCUUGACUUUGGGAUAACUUCAGGAAACUGGGGCUAAUACCGGAUAGGAGCUCCUGCUGCAUGGUGGGGGUUGGAAAGUUUCGGCGGUUGGGGAUGGACUCGCGGCUUAUCAGCUUGUUGGUGGGGUAGUGGCUUACCAAGGCUUUGACGGGUAGCCGGCCUGCGAGGGUGACCGGCCACAUUGGGACUGAGAUACGGCCCAGACUCGUACGGGAGGCAGCAGUGGGGAAUAUUGCACAAUGGGCGGAAGCCUGAUGCAGCAACGCCGCGUGCGGGAUGACGGCCUUCGGGUUGUAAACCGCUUUCGCCUGUGACGAAGCGUGAGUGACGGUAAUGGGUAAAGAAGCACCGGCUAACUACGUG